GGAGUGGAGCCUGCGGCUUAAUUUGACUCAACACGGGAAACCUCACCCGGCCCGAACACUGUGAUGACAGACAGGUUGAGAGCUCUUUCUCGAUUCAGUGGUUGGUGGUGCAUGGCCGUUCUUAGUUCGUGGAGCGAUCUGUCUGGUUAAUUCCGAUAACGAACGAGACUCUUGCCUGCUAAAUACGCCGGCGCCGACUCAGGUCGGCGACCGCUAGCUUCUUAGAGGGACAAGCGGCUUUUAGUCGCGUGAAGCGGAGAGCAAUAACAGGUCAGUGAUGCCCUCAGAUGUUCGGGGCCGCACGCGCGCUACACUGCUUGCAUCAGCGUGUCUCACCCUCGCCGGCCGGCGUGGGCAAUCCGUUGAACCGCAAGCGUGCUAGGGAUCGGAGAUUGCAAUUAUUCUCCGUCAACGAGGAAUUCCUUGUACUUGCGAGUCAUCAGCUCGCGGGGAAUCUGUCCCUGCCCUUUGUACACACCGCCCGUCGCUACUACCGAUUGAGUGGUUUAGUGAGGCCCACGGACUGCACGCGGCACUCGGCGUUUCGGCGUCGCGUCGCGAGCGGAAAGUGAGACGAACUUGAUCACUUCUAGGAAGUA
rnacentral:rRNA from 1 species